rnacentral:lncRNA from 1 species
AAUGUACUAUUAAUGUGUAACAUUUAUUCAAUAUUUAUCUCACCAAAUGUUCCACUUGUGUAAUAAUGUGAAAGAUAUCAACUUUAUCUUGUGUAGUUAUCAGCAUCCUGAGGUCAUUAAGUCAUUUACAUAUAAUACAGUGUUUCGAUGAUCAGGAUUGGUUAGAUGCUGCCUGUUAUGACGUGGAUACUGCUGUUACUGCUUUCGAUGAUAUGCCCCAUCUCAAGUGAAGAACAGUGCUUAAACAAACCGUGCGCUUGCUGUAGAACGGAUAAUUGCGACUCGAAUAGCACUUGUGAAAAUGGUUGUAUUGACGGGUACUGGGGAGACAAUUGUUAUUAUUCGUGCCGGUGCACUGUGUGAAAUGUGAGCAGGAUAGACCGUAUGUAUGUGAUAAAUGCCAUGACGGAUUCCAUAACGGAUACUGGCAUGAUGGGAAGAGUCACGGCCCUUGGACU